rnacentral:rRNA from 1 species
CACCGCGGUUAUACGAGGGGCUCAAAUUGAUAUUACACGGCGUAAAGCGUGAUUAAAAAACAAACAAACUAAAGCCAAACACUUCCCAAGCUGUCAUACGCUACCGGACAAAACGAAGCCCCAUCACGAAAGUAGCUUUAACACCUUUGAACUCACGACAGUUGAGAAA